rnacentral:tRNA from 1 species
UGUCAGAAGUGGGAUUCGAACCCACGCCCACUAGAGUGGACUGCGACCUGAACGCAGCACCUUACACCGCUCGGCCAUCCUGAC